rnacentral:rRNA from 1 species
ACUCCUACGGGAGGCAGCAGUGAGGUAAUAUUGGUCAAUGGAGGGAACUCUGAACCCAGCCAUCCCGCGUGUAGGAAGACUGGGCCUUAUGGGAUUGUAAACUUACUUUUAUACAGGAAGAAACGUACCCUCGUGAGGGUGCCUGACGGUACUGUAGGAAUAAGCACCGGCUAACUCCGUGCCAGCAGCCGCGGUAAUACGGAGGGUGCGAGCG